AGCUUUAUAGUCAAAUAUAUGAUAUUAGAUUGCAAAUCUAAAGGUGUUUAAACUAAAGCUU
rnacentral:tRNA from 2 species